CCUACGGGUGGCUGCAGUGAGGAAUAUUGGGCAAUGGACGCAAGUCUGAACCAGCCAUGCCGCGUGCAGGAAGACGGCUCUAUGAGUUGUAAACUGCUUUUGUACGAGGGUAAACGCAGAUACGUGUAUCUUUCUGAAAGUAUCGUACGAAUAAGGAUCGGCUAACUCCGUGCCAGCAGCCGCGGUAAUACGGAGGAUUCAAGCGUUGUCCGGAUUUAUUGGGUUUAAAGGGAGCGUAGGCGGUCGGAUAAGUUAGAGGUGAAAUCCCGAGGCUCAACUUCGGCAGUGCCUCUGAUACUGUUCGGCGAGAGAGUAGUUGCGGUAGGCGGAAUGUAUGGUGUAGCGGUGAAAUGCUUAGAGAUCAUACAGAACACCGAUUGCGAAGGCAGCUUACCAAGCUACUUCUGACGUUGAGGCACGAAAGCGUGGGGAGCAAACAGGAUUAGAUACCCGGGUAGUC
rnacentral:rRNA from 1 species